rnacentral:rRNA from 1 species
AUUGAACGCUGGCGGCAUGCCUUACACAUGUAAGUCGAACGGCAGCACGGGGCAACCUGGUGGCGAGUGGCGAACGGGUGAGUAAUGCAUCGGAACGUACCUUUCAGUGGGGGAUAACGUAGCGAAAGUUACGCUAAUACCGCAUAUUCUGUGAGCAAGAAAGCAGGGGAUCGCAAGACCUUGCGCUCAUUCAGCGGCCGAUGGCAGAUUAGCUAGUUGGUGAGGUAAAGGCUCACCAAGGCGAGGAUCUGUAGCGGGUCUGAGAGGAUGAUCAGCUACACUGGAACUGAGACACGGUCCAGACUCCUACGGGAGGCAGCAGUGGGAAUUUUGGACAAUGGGGGCAACCCUGAUCCAGCCAUGCCGCGUGAGUGAAGAAGGCCUUCGGGUUGUAAAGCUCUUUCGGCCGGGAAGAAAUCGCACGGGCUAAUACCCUGUGUGGAUGACGGUACCGGAAUAAGAAGCACCGGCUAACUACGUGCCAGCCGCCGCCGUAAAAC